AUGAUCCUGCGAACAAAUCAUCUAAAACUGAAGGCAUCAGAAAUGCUGAUUACAAAGCCACCAUGUAUUAUGGGCAAAAGAACUAUAAAGAUACUGAUAAUGCCGCUAAGAGUUCUUGCUGGCCAUCUCAGGGGCACUGCUGUGUUCCAGGUAACUCACCAAGGGAAUGUGGUGAUUUAAUUGUCUGGAUGGCACAGCAAGAGAUCCUCUGAAGUCAGAUUGAAGUUGGCUCUGUAGCAUCUUGCUUCUGUUUUAGAAAAAUAUACACUUUCUUUGGAUACUCAGCAUGAUAUUCAGUAAGCAUGGAUGUGAGAGGCUAACAAAGAAGAAAUGCUGUUAUAUAUUAUUCACUACUCUCCUAGGGUCCCUUGACACUUGGAGUUAACAUACUUCCAUAGAAACAUUUAACUGUCAAUGGUUCAUUCCAGUAAAACCAAAUCAGACAAUGUACAUGUCAAGAAAAACACCAUUAAAGCUUGAGCUUUUAUCAAUGUAAAUCCUUUUGUUGUUUUUGUUUAAUGGCUAAACAAAGAUUUUAUGAAUAAUUUCAAUGUUCAUUGAAAAGAUAUUAAAACUUAUCUCCCAAAAUUUGUUCAAUCAAUUCUCAAAUUUCCAUAGGCACAUUUCCACAUUAUUAAAAUAUCUUUAGUGAAACAAAUGUUCUUGAUUGCAACACAAUUGUUUACUUUGUUAACACUUUUUCACUCAUUUACAGAUACUUUGAAAGGAUCCUAAAACCAAACAGAAAGGAAAACACUACUUAACCCCAUGAUCCACAAAAGAUGUGAGGAAAUCAGUGUUCUGUGGGUAUGAGCUUAAGAGAGCAUUAUUUGGUCCUCCCAUGCAGAUCUGUACUCAUUUUUUUUAUUCUGGAAGAGGGAGUCUGUGAUCAGAUAUGGGAUUUUCAUUUUCAUUACUGAAAAGAAAAUCUAUGUUGGCUGCUGCAUUAGUUUUUUCUUGUGAUAUACCAAAUUACCACAAACUUGGCAGAUGAAAACAACACACUAAUU
ensembl:lncRNA